rnacentral:rRNA from 1 species
AGCAGCAGCCACGGUAAUACGUAGGUCCCGAGCGUUGUCCGGAUUUAUUGGGCGUAAAGCGAGCGCAGGCGGUUAGAUAAGUCUGAAGUUAAAGGCUGUGGCUUAACCAUAGUACGCUUUGGAAACUGUUUAACUUGAGUGCAGAAGGAGAGAGUGGAAUUCCAUGUGUAGCGGUGAAAUGCGUAGAUAUAUGGAGGAACACCGGUGGCGAAAGCGGCUCUCUGGUCUGUAACUGACGCUGAGGCUCGAAAGCGUGGGGAGCAAACAGGAUUAGAUACCCCAGUAGUCCCUGUCUCUUAUACA